rnacentral:rRNA from 1 species
CGCCCAACCAUGCAGUCGAGCGGCAGCAAAGUGAGUUUACUCUGAGGUGGCGAGCGGCGGACGGGUGAGUAAUGCCUAGGGAUCUGCCCAGUCGAGGGGGAUAACAGUUGGAAACGACUGCUAAUACCGCAUACGCCCUACGGGGGAAAGGAGGGGACCUUUUGGCCUUCCGCGAUUGGAUGAACCUAGGUGGGAUUAGCUAGUUGGUGAGGUAAUGGCUCACCAAGGCGACGAUCCCUAGCUGUUCUGAGAGGAUGAUCAGCCACACUGGGACUGAGACACGGCCCAGACUCCUACGGGAGGCAGCAGUGGGGAAUAUUGCACAAUGGGGGAAACCCUGAUGCAGCCAUGCCGCGUGUGUGAAGAAGGCCUUCGGGUUGUAAAGCACUUUCAGUAGGGAGGAAAGGUUGUAAGUUAAUACCUUGCAGCUGUGACGUUACCUACAGAAGAAGGACCGGCUAACUCCGUGCCAGCAGCCGCGGUAAUACGGAGGGUCCAAGCGUUAAUCGGAAUUACUGGGCGUAAAGCGUGCGCAGGCGGUUUGUUAAGCGAGAUGUGAAAGCCCCGGGCUCAACCUGGGAAUUGCAUUUCGAACUGGCAAACUAGAGUCUUGUAGAGGGGGGUAGAAUUCCAGGUGUAGCGGUGAAAUGCGUANAGAUCUGGAGGAAUACCGGUGGCGAAGGCGGCCCCCUGGACAAAGACUGACGCUCAGGCACGAAAGCGUGGGGAGCAAACAAGAUUAGAUACGCUGGUAGUCCACGCCGUAAACGAUGUCUACUCGGAGUGUGGUGUCUUGAACACUGGGCUCUCAAGCUAACGCAUUAAGUAGACCGCCUGGGGAGUACGGCCGCAAGGUUAAAACUCAAAUGAAUUGACGGGGGGCCCGCACAUGCGGUGGAGCAUGUGGUUUAAUUCGAUGCAACGCGAAGAACCUUACCUACUCUUGACAUCCAGAGA